rnacentral:misc_RNA from 1 species
GAUGAAGAACGCAGCGAAAUGCGAUAAGUAAUGUGAAUUGCAGAAUUCAGUGAAUCAUCGAAUCCUUGAACGCACAUUGCGCCCGCCAGUAUUCUGGCGGGCAUGCCUGUUCGAGCGUCAUUUCAACCAUCAAGCCCCCGGCUUGUGUUGGGGACCUGCGGCUGCCGCAGGCCCUGAAAAGCAGUGGCGGGCUCGCUGUCACACCGAGCGUAGUAGCAUACAUCUCGCUCUGGGCGUGCUGCGGGUUCCGGCCGUUAAACCACCUUCAUAACCCAAGGUUGACCUCGGAUCAGGUAGGAAGACCCGCUGAACUUAAGCAUAUCAAUAGCGGAGGA